rnacentral:rRNA from 1 species
UACGUAGGGGGCAAGCGCUAUCCGGAUUUACUGGGUGUAAAGGGAGCGUAGACGGCCAGACAAGUCUGAAGUGAAAAUCCAGCGCUUAACGUUGGAAGUGCUUUGGAAACUGCCGGGCUAGAGUGCAGGAGGGGCAGGCGGAAUUCCUAGUGUAGCGGUGAAAUGCGUAGAUAUUAGGAGGAACACCAGUGGCGAAGGCGGCCUGCUGGACUGCAACUGACGUUGAGGCUCGAAGGCGUGGGGAGCAAACAGG